AUGAACGCUGGCGGCGUGCCUCAUACAUGCAAGUCGCGCGAACAGACGAGGAGCUUGCUCCUCUGACGUUAGCGGCGGACGGGUGAGUAACACGUGGAUAACCUACCUAUAAGACUGGGAUAACUUCGGGAAACCGGAGCUAAUACCGGAUAAUAUAUUGAACCGCAUGGUUCAAUAGUGAAAGACGGUUUUGCUGUCACUUAUAGAUGGAUCCGCGCCGCAUUAGCUAGUUGGUAAGGUAACGGCUUACCAAGGCAACGAUGCGUAGCCGACCUGAGAGGGUGAUCGGCCACACUGGAACUGAGACACGGUCCAGACUCCUACGGGAGGCAGCAGUAGGGAAUCUUCCGCAAUGGGCGAAAGCUUGACGGAGCAACGCCGCGUGAGUGAUGAAGGUCUUCGGAUCGUAAAACUCUGUUAUUAGGGAAGAACAAAUGUGUAAGUAACUAUGCACGUCUUGACGGUACCUAAUCAGAAAGCCACGGCUAACUACGUG
rnacentral:rRNA from 1 species